CACACAGAAGAGAGACACAGUGUCCCUGCUUUCUGUAGCCUUUUGCCCAGGAAAGAAUUCUGCAGACCUUUGGCUUGAUCUUCUCCAAGAAGGAGGUGUGUGUGUGGGGGAGGUUUGGGGUGGGGGGGGCAGAAUGUUUUUUUUCUUCCAGGGUGUGUUCGUGUGUGAUAGUUGCUCCAUUGUUCUUUCUUGAGGCCUGGCAUUGAAGGACAGCCCUCUCCAAUCCUGGGGAUUUAGAGGGGAUUUAGAUAAAAAGGAGGUUGGGUUGCAGGGUGUGCUUCCUCCUCCUCCUCCUCCUCCUCCUCCUCCUCCUCCUCCUCCUCCUCCCUGGGCUGAGUCGACUGCAGCACCUCUUAUCCCUUAAUGCCAUGUUACCGGACACCCAUUGCUCAAAGCGUUGCAUAAGCCCCACUUCCUGUCAAAUGCCAGGGAGAGAUAUAAAUCUGGGUGCCCCAGUGGGCACGCCAUCCUUUCUGCCCUCCGGCUGGCACCUGAGAAGCAUCAGGACCAGCAUGGAGGCCACCCUGCUCAGCCUUGCCGCGUUCUGCCUCUUCGGUGUCCAGGCCGACGUGGAAGUGGAUCCAAAUUUCGACCUUAAAAGGUUUGCAGGGAAGUGGCACGUCCCGGCACUCGCCUCCACCGACCCGAUGCUUGAAAGCCUGAAGGACAUCAUCACGACACCGGCAGCCCGGAUCGUCGCCUUACCAAAUGGCAACCUGGAAAUAGAAACAUACUACCUAUUGGGAGAAGAUUGCGAAGGGAUGAAAGGGACGUACGCGAAGACGGAGCGGCCCGGACACUUCGUUUCAAUUGACGAAAGGGGCAAGAAGGACCUGUGGGUGCUGGCCAGCGACGCCAACUUUGCCAUCGUCUACGUCCAGCGGGAGAUGAAGGGGAUGCCCACCAGCAGGAGUCUCCAGUUUUACAGCAAAGACCUCAAAGGAAGGGAGAACCUGGACAAAUUCAAGGCCUACUGCCAGAAAAUGGGGCUCAUGGGCGAACUGGUGGUCCCACCCUUGUCCGAUAAAUGUUUCCAGCAAAUUAGUGGCUGAAGAGAACCAGCCCAAGACCCUCCUCCGCCAAGAGGCUCCAUUCAGCCUGGAAGCCAUGAUUGCUGGUCUCCCACCUCUUACCCUGCCACCUUCCCCUUCCUCAUUUGCCUGGCCCGCCUUCCUUUCCCUUCCGUGGAAUAAAUAGAUUGCAACUUCCCCUCUUUUUUAGCCA
rnacentral:lncRNA from 1 species